UUGAGCAGAUGGACACAACGGUACGUAAUUCGUCAUAUUUAGAAUAGCUAGGAAAAGUGAAAUGUGGUUUUUUUUUAACCUAAGUGAAAAGUGGUUGGUUACUUCUGAAAUGGAAAUUAGUAAAAUCAUCAGAAAAAAGUAGUAACUCUUCAGCUUAAAAAUUGUAGCAAUAUUAGUGUUGGUCGGUUGAAGAUUGUGAAGUUCAGUCCCCAAGCUCUGAAUCAUAAUCCUGAUUAGAGUUCUUGUCAUAUUUAGAAUAGCUUGGAAGCUUAUGGAUUCGUCGUGCUAUUUCUGAAUUUUUUUGAUUUCGUUCAACAGCGAACCCAGAAGGGGGAGGCUCCUGAAUAAUUCAUAGGACAGCAGCUGAAUAAUUGGAAGACUCAUUUUGUACACACAGGAUAGUACAAACAACAUAAUGCUCAGUCAUUUUUGAAUUAGGUUCAGAUAGAGUGAGGAUUGGUGCUGCCUCCCCUGGUAGGAGCCAAAUGUCCUAAUCGAACUACUGUCAUGGAGAGGGCAAUACGUGGAUUUGCUUCAGAUAUUGGAGACAACGCCAUUGUGCCGAAGCUUUGAAGCAUACGAUUUUUACAAUCUGUAUUUAUGGGAGAAAGGAUUUGGCAUUCGAUAUGCUAAAAGCUGUCUGAAUGUCGAGAGGACGUGGAAAUCUAUUGUGGAUAAUACUGGUCUUGCCAGCAUUAGUGCCCUACUCUGAUAAGGCUGCUGCAGUCUGAACCAUUCAUUGCCUGGCACGUAUGCGCAGACGAUACACUGACGAUCGCACAAGCACAUCAACGUGUACAACAGGUAUUUGAUGAAGAAUUUGAGGCAGGACAAUUUGAACCUUGCUAAAGUGCACAACAUUAGGCAGUUUCUUUGGGUCGACGGAGAAUGUGCCUUUCACAAAAAGAGCUUCAAGGAGCUUGUGUGGCAAAAUAAUCCGCGAGCAAGCGGCUGAUGAUGUUAGUUAAACGAUGGAGGUGUUUGCGGAGCUUGGUUCAAAGGAUCCUCACUUCACAUAUCAUGUGCAGGCCGAUAAGGAGGGGAGGAUAAACGCACUCAUGUGGGCAAAUGGGGACAGUAGGCUGGUGCAAAAAAGACUGUAGCUUAUUCUUAAAUUUUUUGUCUCUAUACUGAAUUUGAUGUGUACCGAUAAAUCAUGUGGCGUGUGAGAUCCAUCAUGCAGUUUAACUGCUAAUCCCAAUUAUGUUAUGCAUAUGCC